GCCGCCUGAGUCUCCAUUGGGGUCGGUGGCUUACAGAUCCACUCGUGGAUGAAUCCUGCAGGGAAGAAGAGGGUGAAAGAGGAGGAGCGGGUUUACACUCCUUACCUCACUUGCUAUUCUUGAGGCGAGGAUAAUGGGGAAGCAAAGCUUGCUCGAGACUCUAAUGGAUGGAUCAGGAGAUCCAAGGGGAUUCUUUUGGGUUGGCCC
rnacentral:lncRNA from 1 species